rnacentral:rRNA from 1 species
GACGAACGCUGGCGGCGUGCUUAACACAUGCAAGUCGAACGGUAAGGCCCUUCGGGGUACACGAGUGGCGAACGGGUGAGUAACACGUGGGUGAUCUGCCCUGCACUUCGGGAUAAGCCUGGGAAACUGGGUCUAAUACCGGAUAGGACCACUGCCUGCAUGGGUGGUGGUGGAAAGCUUUUGCGGUGUGGGAUGGGCCCGCGGCCUAUCAGCUUGUUGGUGGGGUGAUGGCCUACCAAGGCGACGACGGGUAGCCGGCCUGGGAGGGUGACCGGCCACACUGGGGCUGGGAUACGGCCCAGACUCCUACGGGAGGCAGCAGUGGGGAAUAUUGCACAAUGGGCGCAAGCCUGAUGCAGCGACGCCGCGUGAGGGAUGACGGCCUUCGGGUUGUAAACCUCUUUCAGCACCGACGAAGCGCAAGUGACGGUAGGUGCAGAAGAAGGACCGGCCAACUACGUGCCAGCCGCCGCCGUAA